UACGGAGGGUGCAAGCGUUAUCCGGAUUCACUGGGUUUAAAGGGUGCGUAGGCGGGGUGGUAAGUCCGUGGUGAAAUCCCCAAGCUUAACUUGGGAACUGCCGUGGAUACUAUCAAUCUUGAAUAUCGUGGAGGUAAGCGGAAUAUGUCAUGUAGCGGUGAAAUGCUUAGAUAUGACAUAGAACACCAAUUGCGUAGGCAGCUUACUACACGAUCAUUGACGCUGAGGCACGAAAGUGUGGGGAGCAAACAGG
rnacentral:rRNA from 1 species